UUAAGUCGCCCAGAAGAANGAACUAGCCCCCAUACCGUAUUAGUAUUAGUGGCCGNAGAGUGGCCGUGAGAGCUCUGAUGGAUGGCAGGUGCUCGGAGUUUCGGCGGGCGCGUGUAGGGGCCGCUGGGCAGCACAGGGGUGGGGCGUUCUCCCCGCGGCAGUUGUUGCCUAGGAGGCCUCCUGCGUUCCAUUUGAACGGAGGUCGCUACGGAGUACCAGUGGGCGCGUGUAGGGCCCGCUGAUCAGCCACAGGGGCGGGGCACUCUCCCCCGCGCCAGUUGUUGCCUAGAAGGCCUCCUGCGUUCCACCUGGCCAGAUGUCGCGGCGUUUCUGUUAUCUUCGGACCUGUUAGCCAUCGAGAGAUCCGAAACCACCUGAGUCCCCUGCUCGUCCGUCNAACAUGUUUUUAUGUGUGGUGUGGUGGCGAGGGGCCUUGUGAGUCUAAGGCGAGGUGGCGGAACUCUAGCUCUAGCUUGGGUUUCGACACUCGCUCAAAAGCGGAGGAGGAGGGGCUGUUCGUACGAGGGGCCGGAUAGG
rnacentral:rRNA from 1 species